rnacentral:rRNA from 1 species
UACGUAGGGUGCAAGCGUUGUCCGGAAUUAUUGGGCGUAAAGAGCUCGUAGGCGGUUUGUCGCGUCUGCCGUGAAAGUCCGGGGCUCAACUCCGGAUCUGCGGUGGGUACGGGCAGACUAGAGUGCGGUAGGGGAGACUGGAAUUCCUGGUGUAGCGGUGAAAUGCGCAGAUAUCAGGAGGAACACCGGUGGCGAAGGCGGGUCUCUGGGCCGUAACUGACGCUGAGGAGCGAAAGCAUGGGGAGCGAACAGG